ACGGGUGAGUAACGCGUGGGUAACCUGCCCUGUACAGGGGGAUAACAGCUGGAAACGGCUGCUAAUACCGCAUAAGCGCACGAGGAGACAUCUCCUUGUGUGAAAAACUCCGGUGGUACAGGAUGGGCCCGCGUCUGAUUAGCUGGUUGGCAGGGUAACGGCCUACCAAGGCAACGAUCAGUAGCCGGUCUGAGAGGAUGAACGGCCACACUGGAACUGAGACACGGUCCAGACUCCUACGGGAGGCAGCAUG
rnacentral:rRNA from 1 species